rnacentral:rRNA from 1 species
CCUAUAAGACUGGGAUAACUUCGGGAAACCGGAGCUAAUACCGGAUAACAUUUAGAACCGCAUGGUUCUAAAGUGAAAGAUGGUUUUGCUAUCACUUAUAGAUGGACCCGCGCCGUAUUAGCUAGUUGGUAAGGUAACGGCUUACCAAGGCGACGAUACGUAGCCGACCUGAGAGGGUGAUCGGCCACACUGGAACUGAGACACGGUCCAGACUCCUACGGGAGGCAGCAGUAGGGAAUCUUCCGCAAUGGGCGAAAGCCUGACGGAGCAACGCCGCGUGAGUGAUGAAGGGUUUCGGCUCGUAAAACUCUGUUAUUAGGGAAGAACAAAUGUGUAAGUAACUGUGCACAUCUUGACGGUACCUAAUCAGAAAGCCACGGCUAACUACGUGCCAGCAGCCGCGGUAAUACGUAGGUGGCAAGCGUUAUCCGGAAUUAUUGGGCGUAAAGCGCGCGUAGGCGGUUUCUUAAGUCUGAUGUGAAAGCCCACGGCUCAACCGUGGAGGGUCAUUGGAAACUGGGAAACUUGAGUGCAGAAGAGGAAAGUGGAAUUCCAUGUGUAGCGGUGAAAUGCGCAGAGAUAUGGAGGAACACCAGUGGCGAAGGCGACUUUCUGGUCUGUAACUGACGCUGAUGUGCGAAAGCGUGGGGAUCAAACAGGAUUAGAUACCCUGGUAGUCCACGCCGUAAACGAUGAGUGCUAAGUGUUAGGGGGUUUCCGCCCCUUAGUGCUGCAGCUAACGCAUUAAGCACUCCGCCUGGGGAGUACGACCGCAAGGUUGAAACUCAGAG